UGAGUAACCUGCCCUUGACUCUGGGAAUAAGCCUCGGAAACCGGGUCUAAUACUGGAUACGACCUUCUGGCGCAUGCCAUGUUGGUGGAAAGCUUUUGUGGUUUUGGAUGGACUCGCGGCCUAUCAGCUUGUUGGUGGGGUAAUGGCCUACCAAGGCGACGACGGGUAGCCGGCCUGAGAGGGUGACCGGCCACACUGGGACUGAGACACGGCCCAGACUCCUACGGGAGGCAG
rnacentral:rRNA from 1 species